GCAAAAGCAAUGCGAAGCCUCCAAAGCGCAGUGGGAGUGCUCCCGCUGUGCUCCAGAGGCUUCGCAUUGCUUUCGC